rnacentral:tRNA from 1 species
GCCUUCGUGACGACCGGCUUCUGGCCGGCGAUCUUCGUGAGGUCGCCAACGGCGUUCUCGAUGAUCUUCUUGUCGGCGACGGCU